GGAAAAGAGGAAAACAACACUCCUGGAAGAGAAAACAAAUGGAACCUAAGAAGUGUGAAGAAGCUUAUCAGAGAAUUAUCAGAGGGAUCAACGGAAGCUAAUCUCCAGGAUAAGGAACACAAAGCAAGCUCCAAGCAUUCAGGACACUAGACACUGCUCCCUCCUGGGUCACACCAGAAGAUGUCCAAUAGUCCAAGAGGCCAGACAGCUGACUAAUUUCUAAACGGUUCUCAACCCACGGGAAAGAGGCUGGAAGCCUCCCUCCACAGAUGUUGAGUAACAGCCAGCACACCUGCCUGCUGAAAGGGCUAGAAAGAUUACCUGAUUCAUUCAAGACGGUCCUUAGAGAAUUCGCUCUGUAAACUAAGCUGCCCUCAAGCUCAUAGAGGUCAGCCUGCCUCUAUCCCGAGUACUGGAAUUAAAGGCAUGUGCCAUCAGAAGUGUCAAAUCUGAGGCCAGCUUGGGUUAAAUACUGAGAUCCUGACUCAGAGUACAUAGACAGGUAAAUAAAUUAAAAUUUAAAAAUAAAAGUAAA